rnacentral:misc_RNA from 1 species
UUUUUUCCUGUAGAUCCUAAGAAUGUUGCAAGAUGAUGAAAUAGCUGGACAGAAUGAAUUUAUUAAGCAAUAUCUUGCUGGACAACAAAAGAUAUAUGAAAAACAAAAAGAAGCAAGAAGACUUGUUGAAUUGGAAGAACAGAGAGCUAGUGAUACUGAUAUUUCAUCACAGGAUGAGGCUUCACCUUAUAAAGAACGAGUCCAAAAGCAGUACAAUACAAAUAUAACAAGUGAAAAUGAAAAUAUAAGUCAACCGAAACAAAAUUUUAGUUUUGAAGAUAAUGAAAUAGAAACAAGCAAAAUAGAAAAAUGCAAUUAUAGUAAUGAAGAAAAAGAAGUGGAUAUGCAUCACAAGAGUGAAGAUAAAAAAGGUAUUCAUUACCAAAGUGAUGAAGAAAGUUCAGAAGUAGAAAGUAAAAAUAAAGAAGAAAUAAACGAUCAUCAGAAAGAUGCAAAAUUGGAUUCAUUUGUAGAUGAAAUUCAGAUUAAAACAGAUGUAUGUGAGAAAAAAGAAAAUUUAGAAAUUCAACAUACAAUGGAAGUUAAUGCAGAAAUAAGGUCACCUGAAAACAAAACUUUAAGUAUCAGUAAAAAUUCAGAUGAUGAGCAAAUCAAUAUUCCUAGUAAAAUUCAAGAAAUGGAAAAGACAGAAGAUCCUAUUAAUGAUAUAUCUGAUAAAAAUGAUAAAAUAAUUUCUGAUGAAAAGAUUGUAGUUACACAAACUUUAGAUGAUGAUGAUAAAGUUACAUAUAAUAUAUUAUCUGAGAAUGCCACUGUAAAUAUUGUACAAAAACAAGAAGUUCUAAAUGAUGAAAAUAUUUCUCAAGAUAUAGAGAUGAAAGAAACAGAAGAAGAAUUGGAUAAAGAAAAUUGUGUUUCUGAAAAGGAAAAGAAUCAAAAUAAUUCUGCAUGUAUUCCUGAGGACACAAGCCAAAUAAAAGAUAUAUCUGUUGAAGAAACAAAACAAGAGGAAGAGAAACCUAAUACAUAUUCUGACGUUCCUGAUACAGAGAAAGAUCACAUAAAUAAUAAGAUACCAGAAGUUGAAAUGGCACAAGGUGAUGAUGUUACAGAAACCUUUCUUGAUAAAGAUAUUAAAAAAGUUAGUAUACCAGAGACUUCAGAAGAAAACCCUGAUACUAAUGAUAUAAAUUAUGACAAUGAAAAAACUAAUGUAAUUAAUGAAACAUUAGAUUAUGCCAAUAAACAAGUACCUUAUGGACAGCUUAAAGAAGCUUCUUCCAUUAGUGAUAAAGAGCAUACGAAAAGCAAACCAGUUAAAUUAAAAAGAAAAAAGCUGGAGGAAUUGCCCAAACCUGCAGAAUCUGUUGCUGAUAAUCAGACUUACAUGACUAAAGAUGAUCAGAAGAGAAAAUGGAAUGAACAUAAAACUAAUAAAAAUUCAGAAAAGGAUGAUGAUUAUAGUUCUGGAAGAAAAGAUAAUGAAGAUAAUCUUAAGUCAAAUCCAAAUUCAGAGUUUCAAGGAAAGAUGAAAGAUGAUGACAAUGAUGAUGAUAUGGAAAUAGAUUCCAAGGAAACCAAUAAAAAUAAAAAUAUUAAUAGCAAUUAUAAGAGAAAAACUCCAAAGAAAAGAAGUUCAUCUUCAGAUAGCAGUUCUGAAGAUGAUAAACGUAAAAGCAGAGAAAGAAAAGGGCACAAUAAAAGAAGUUCAAGCUCAAGUAGUGAUAGUAGUGAAAGUAACACAGAGAAAUCAAAAUCGAAAAGGAGGAGAAUUGAGAGUGAUAAAAGUAAAUCUCACAAUAUUGAAAGUAGUGAUGAAAAUAAUUAUAUUAGAAAAGAAAGGAGAAGAGAACAUUCAAAUAGUAGUGAAAGUUCUGAUAGUCAAGAAGCAAAUCGAAGAUGGGGAAGAAAAAGUAAAAAUAAAAAUGAAAACAGAGAAGAUAGAAGUGAUUCACAUUAUAGAAGUUAUGGAAAUAGGAAUUAUCAGAGUACUAGUCCAGGGUAUAGAAAGCUUGAGCAAAAAUAUGAUUCAUCAGUCAAUCAAAAUCGACAUGAAGAGCAUAAUAGGAAGUCAAGUCCAAAAGAGCAGAAAAAAGAACAUAAAUUUUCCAGUCAAGAAGAAACUGAAGUGUCUGAUCACAGAGAAAAACAGUUAUCUGAUAAAGAAGUAAAAGAGCAGUCACGAAGAAUAACAACACGUAAAUUAUCUUUAUCAUCAUCCAGAAAAGAAAAUCAGACUCUUGGUAAUUCUGAAAGACCACAAAGGAAAAGAAGAUGGGGGUCAAGUACAAAAGUGGCAACUAAGCCAUCUGUUAGUAUUUCGACUGAUUCCCUUAAGGAUCUAAUACCUGAUUACAAACCAGUAGUAAAAAAUGUUGUUUUAUCAUCAGAAGAAUUAACUCCUACUGCUAAUACACCUGAGGAAGAAGCUUUAUUUGGAAGUCAGGAAUUAAAUAAUCAACAGACUGAAAUUCCUGGAAUUCCAGAAAUAAGUGAAACUGAUCAGGUAAAAGAAGAUACAUCAAAAGAAGAAAGUCCUCAUCCUCCCACUCCACCACAGAAUCCACCAUCAUGCAUUAUUCAUAUUAAGAAUUUAGUUCGUCCAUUCACUCUUCAACAGCUAAAACAAGUACUACAGAAAACUGGAACAAUUGUAGAAGGAGGAUUUUGGAUUGACAAGAUUAAAUCAAAAUGCUAUGUAACUUAUGAGACAGAAGAUCAAGCUUCAGAAACUAGACAAGCACUUCAUGCAACAAGGUGGCCACCUUCAAAUCCUAAAACACUCAUAGUAGAUUUUGCAACAAAAGAAGAGUUAGAUUAUCAUAAAGAUUUACCAGAUAUUCCUAAAUUGCAAAAUAAGGAAAAAUCUGAAGAAAAGAAAAGUGGAACAUUAUCUAAUAAUUCCAAAAAAAGGGAUGAUGAUUAUGAUAAAAGAAGAGAAAAACAAAAAGAUGAGAGAAUGAUACAACAUCCAAUUAGAGAAUGGGAUAGAGAUAAAUUAACUCAAGAUUCUCCAGAACAUGAUAGGAGGACAAAAGAUAGAAGUAGAGAAAGAGGUAGAAGUCCAGAUAGGAGAGAGAAAAAGGAGAAAAAAGAUUCAAAGAGAAAACAAGAAGAAGAAACACCUGCCAAAUUAUUGGAUGAUUUGUUUCGUAAAACCAAAUCUACUCCUUGUAUUUAUUGGCUACCAUUAACUGAAGAACAGAUACAUCAGCGAGAGCAAGAAAGAAAGCAGAGACAGAUUGAAAGAGAGAAGAGAAGACAGCAAAGAGAUCAGGAGGAUAGAGAAAGAGAAGAAGCUGAACGAUUACAAAGGCAAAAGGCUAGAGAAAAUCGUUCAGGGAAAGAUAAAGAGAAUGCUCAGCAGAGCAGAAGUCCACUUGGAAGGAAACGUUGAAGAUAACCUUUCAGGAAAGUUCAAACCAUCGUCCGGCCUCCUGGCAUUAAGUUCAUCAUGGAUAGCUGGAAGAAGAUGUCCUUUUGCAGAUGAGCAGUUUCACUGUUAAUGGCCAUGCGAUUCAAUCCCGAAGAUGUUUGCCCACGCAGUCCCAUCUGUUACCCAGUUCGUUGUCAUAUUUGGUGGCAGGAACUGCACCCGAAUAUUAGUGAAUAAUACCCCCACAAAUGUGGGAAGAGAUGGCUUACCCAGAUGUAUGAAGUCGGUCAGCAAUGAACACUUUGCAAAACAUAACAAGUGUUUCUUCAUGGUGUUGGUAGUAGCAUUUCAAAAUCACAUACGACAAGCAGUCGAUCAGCUUUUACAAAGUUUUGCAUAAAAACUUAUUAAAAAAGAAAAAAGAAAGAAACAUUCUUCGUUUUUGUAAAUAAUCAACACCUGGGUUUCACAGUAAGAAUAUAGGUUAUAAAUCUGCAUCAAAUGUUCAAUUGCAUCAGUAUCAUGGACACUUCACUCUCUAGUUGAAAGCAUCAUUUGAGUGUUUGAUGAACAACAAUGUAUAAUUUUUAUCUAUUUCAAAAUAAAACUUUUAGAUGUUCUGUUAAUAACUGACGUUUGUUGUAUAUUUUUAUCAAAAAUUUUAAAAAAA